rnacentral:rRNA from 1 species
UACGUAGGGGGCUAGCGUUGUCCGGAAUCAUUGGGCGUAAAGCGCGUGUAGGCGGUCCGGUAAGUCCGCUGUGAAAGUCGGGGGCUCAACCCUCGAAUGCCGGUGGAUACUGUCGGGCUAGAGUGCGGAAGAGGCGAGUGGAAUUCCUGGUGUAGCGGUGAAAUGCGCAGAUAUCAGGAGGAACACCUAUUGCGAAGGCAGCUCGCUGGGACGUAACUGACGCUGAGGAGCGAAAGCGUGGGGAGCGAACAGU